CUAUACAUGCAAGUCGAGGGUGAUUAUCGGAUUCGUCUGAUAUGAAACCGGCGCACGGGUGCGUAACACGUAUGCAACCUACCUUUAACUGGGGUAUAGCUCAGAGAAAUCUGAAUUAAUCCCCCAUAACACUACGACAUGGCAUCAUGAUGUAGUUAAAGCUCCGGCGGUUAAGGAUGGGCAUGCGGUACAUUAGCUAGUUGGUGAGGUAAUGGCUCACCAAGGCUACGAUGUAUAGGGGGUCUGAGAGGAUGAUCCCCCACACUGGUACUGAGACACGGACCAGACUCCUACGGGAGGCGGCAGUAGGGAAUAUUGGUCAAUGGACGAAAGUCUGAACCAGCCAUGCCGCGUGAAGGAUGAAGGCCCUCUGGGUCGUAAACUUCUUUUAUUAGGGAAGAAACCUCAGGAUGCGUCCUGAGCUGACGGUACUUAAUGAAUAAGGAUCGGCUAACUUCGUGCCAGCAGCCGCGGUAAGACGAAGGAUCCAAGCGUUGUCCGGAUUUACUGGGUUUAAAGGGUGCGUAGGCGGAAAAUUAAGUCAGUGGUGAAAGCCCGCAGCUCAACUGUGGAACUGCCAUUGAAACUGGUUUUCUUGAAUAUAGCUGAGGCAGAUGGAAUAUAACAUGUAGCGGUGAAAUGCUUAGAUAUGUUAUAGAACACCGAUUGCGAAGGCAGUCUGCUAAACUAUUAUUGACGCUGAGGCACGAAAGCGUGGGGAGCGAACAGGAUUAGAUACCCUGGUAGUCCACGCCCUAAACGUUGAUUACUCGCUGUUGGCGAUAUACUGUCAGUGGCUAAGCGAAAGCAUUAAGUAAUCCACCUGGGAAGUACGACCGCAAGGUUGAAACUCAAAGGAAUUGACGGGGGCCCGCACAAGCGGAGGAGCAUGUGGUUUUAUUCGAUGAUACGCGAGAAACCUUACCUGGGCUUAAAUGUCAGGUGACCGCUGCCG
rnacentral:rRNA from 1 species